rnacentral:rRNA from 1 species
GGAUCAUUACACAAAUAUGAAGGCGGGCUGGAACCUCUCGGGGUUACAGCCUUGCUGAAUUAUUCACCCUUGUCUUUUGCGUACUUCUUGUUUCCUUGGUGGGUUCGCCCACCACUAGGACAACCAUAAACCUUUUGUAAUUGCAAUCAGCGUCAGUAACAAAUUAAUAAUUACAACUUUCAACAACGGAUCUCUUGGUUCUGGCAUCGAUGAAGAACGCAGCGAAAUGCGAUAAGUAGUGUGAAUUGCAGAAUUCAGUGAAUCAUCGAAUCUUUGAACGCACAUUGCGCCCUUUGGUAUUCCAAAGGGCAUGCCUGUUCGAGCGUCAUUUGUACCCUCAAGCUUUGCUUGGUGUUGGGCGUCUUGUCUCUAGCUUUGCUGGAGACUCGCCUUAAAGUAAUUGGCAGCCGGCCUACUGGUUUCGGAGCGCAGCACAAGUCGCACUCUCUAUCAGCAAAGGUCUAGCAUCCAUUAAGCCUUUUUUUCAACUUUUGACCUCGGAUCAGGUAGGGAUACCCGCUGAACUUAAGCAUAU